GGGUGAGUAACGCGUGAGGAACCUGCCUCAAAGAGGGGGACAACAGUUGGAAACGACUGCUAAUACCGCAUAAGCCCACAGCUCGGCAUCGAGCAGAGGGAAAAGGAGCAAUCCGCUUUGAGAUGGCCUCGCGUCCGAUUAGCUAGUUGGUGAGGUAACGGCCCACCAAGGCGACGAUCGGUAGCCGGACUGAGAGGUUGAACGGCCACAUUGGGACUGAGACACGGCCCAGACUCCUACGGGAGGCAGCAGUGGGGAAUAUUGCACAAUGGGGGAAACCCUGAUGCAGCGACGCCGCGUGGAGGAAGAAGGUCUUCGGAUUGUAAACUCCUGUUGUUGAGGAAGAUAAUGACGGUACUCAACAAGGAAGUGACGGCUAACUACGUGCCAGCAGCCGCGGUAAAACGUAGGUCACAAGCGUUGUCCGGAAUUACUGGGUGUAAAGGGAGCGCAGGCGGGAAGACAAGUUGGAAGUGAAAUCUAUGGGCUCAACCCAUAAACUGCUUUCAAAACUGUUUUUCUUGAGUAGUGCAGAGGUAGGCGGAAUUCCCGGUGUAGCGGUGGAAUGCGUAGAUAUCGGGAGGAACACCAGUGGCGAAGG
rnacentral:rRNA from 1 species